rnacentral:rRNA from 1 species
AUGAACGCUAGCGACAGGCCUAACACAUGCAAGUCGAGGGGCAGCACGAAUCAAGCUUGCUUGAUUUGGUGGCGACCGGCGCACGGGUGCGUAACAGGUGUGCAAUCUGUCCAUAAUCGGGGAAUAGCCCAGCGAAAGUUGGAUUAAUGCUCCAUGUGAGUUUUAGAGGCAUCUCUUUAACUUGAAACGUAAGGAUUAUGGGUGAGCACGCUUCUGAUUAGGUAGUUGGUGAGGUAACGGCUCACCAAGCCGACGAUCAGUAGGGGUUCUGAGAGGAAGGUCCCCCACAUUGGAACUGAGACACGGUCCAAACUCCUACGGGAGGCAGCAGUGAGGAAUAUUGGUCAAUGGGCGGAAGCCUGAACCAGCCAAGUCGCGUGAAGGAUGAAGGUUCUAUGGAUUGUAAACUUCUUUUGUCUGAGGGUAAAAAAGCGGACGUGUCCGUUCUUGCAAGUAUCAGACGAAUAAGCAUCGGCUAACUCCGUG